GUCAUAGAGGACAUUGAGCAUGGAGCUCGAGAUGUCAAUCUAGAGGGAAGGCGCUGGGUGUAAUGGUUGUUCAAAGGAUAGAGCUUAGAAUCUGGGUUUUGGUUUGUUCAAUCUGCUUGAUGGAGGCCUUGAAACAACCAUAUACAAGCAAACGAGCACAACCAUAUACAUGUAUUAUUCAUUCAUAUCUGAUUCAUUAAACAGAUGCCUUCACAUACGAUCAAGUUCAGA